ensembl:lncRNA
GUGACUUUCAGUUUCUAUGUAAGUUGCGUAAGGGGGUGGGUCUAUUUUGAAUAUUAAUAUUAAGCAGACGGCCAUUGGACGGCCCGCGUUUAUGCCACGCCCAUCUACAUAUGAAUACAAGAACGAGGAAGUGUAGUUGUACAGUGCUGUAACUCUUGCUUACCGAGCAGGUUAAACCGUCAACAUGGCAAAUACAGAUAAAGUUAUCUCCUACAGCGAUCUCAAAUCCCUCAAAGAGAAAAGUAAAGACCUUCUGCUUGUGGAUGUGCGCUCCAAAGAUGAAGUGGACAGAGGACACAUCCCAGGCUCCAUCCAUGUCCCAGGUGAGUUACAGAGCAAUAAACUGUAAUACUGCCCAGUACUAGCACAGUUAUUAAUUCAUUACUAAAGGAAUGUUACCUUUUAUAAUUAAUACCUAUCUACAGAGGUGUUCAAGAUUUAUUUUGGAAUGGUUUUCUUAAUCGACUAUUUUGUAAUUCUUCUUUCACAUACAUGUUGACCUGUUUUCAUUGUUCAAGUGGCUUUAUUGUCAUUUCAACCAUAUACAAUUGGUAAAGUACACAGUGAAACUAAACAACGUUCCUCCAGGACCAUGGUGCUACAUAAAACAAUACAUAGCUAAAUAAGACUACAAAGACAUGCACAGGACUACAUAAAGACAAGACAGUACAGCGAUUACUAAACAAGGACACGAGGCACAGUAAAGGACGGUGCAUAAACAUAACAUAGUAACUAGCCGCAAGAACGCAAGUGUUCAAUAACAUGAACUCAAAAUGUAAGUUUCGUGGCUUUUAGUAUGAAUAUGUUAGCCUUAAGGAUAUCUAUAAGCUGGUGUGCUCCAGAACAAUAACAAAAUUCGCAGUCUCUGUAUGCCACCAAUACGGAUCAACACUCCUGAUGACAUCAUUAUGCACUUCAGUUUCUCAACAGAUUUUCUGUCCAAUCAAAUGCUCUCUAAAAUCUGAAGUGUCCCGCCCCCAACAUUAUAAAAAUCCAUGGUACUAACUGUCAAGUAUGGUUUAGCCCUGGCUGUGAGGUAAGCUAAAUAUUACUGGUUAUUUAAAAGGGGGGAGGGCCCACUCGAUAUGGCCGACCCUGGCUUCCUGUUUCAGUGAAAAUUACGUCAACAUAUCGAAUAAUGCUGUUUGUUUCAAGGCACUUUACGGGGACUUUAAGAAAGAAAUGUGCAAAAAAUGCAGAAGUAGUGGAAUGGUGUUCAGCUGAGUGUGUGUGUGUGUGUGUGUGUGUGUGUGUGUGUGUGUCUGUGUGUCUGUGUGUCUGUGUGUCUGUGCGUGUGUGUGUGUGUGAGUUGGUGUUGAUCCAGUCUCUGGGUAUUGAGGAAUCUGAUGGCUUGGGGGAGAAAAAAAUGAUCAGGCUCUGAAACGUCAACUGUCAUUAAUUUUCAUCUCAACUACUAACUAGCCAAGCCGAGUCUCUGUAACUGUUCCCUUCCUAUUACUUCUUACCUUCUUACCUUCCCCCUACAUCUGUUAUAUUUCCAUUAAUACGGCACUGAACGUCACUGGAAAAUUCUGAAUGAGAAAAGAAGCUCUUGUUCUUUUUUUGCUCUUUUUAUUAAACAUCCCCACAACAUCCCCCUGUGAUGUCAGUGUGACAGACAACCACUAACUUCUCACAGAAAUGAAUCAAAAUACAGCAUCAACCAAAAAACUGGAAAAUGUGGAAAAGGAAUUCUCUUUGGAUGAACAUGCUUUUCAAGAGAAAUUCGGUGUCCCCAAGCCCCUUCUGGAUAGCCAUGAACUGGUGUUCCACUGCCAAAUGGGACGGCGUGGAGACACUGCUACAGAGAAAGCCAGAAGCCUCGGCUUCAUCAAUGCACAGAACUAUGCAGGAGGUUACAAGGAAUGGUCAGAGAAGGAAGGCAAAUGAUGCUGCUUCCGCACACAGCUCCAGGACAUCUAAUAGAGUAGUUUUAGUGACAUUUGGACAAUGUUCAUCUCACAGGAUUGUCAACCAUGUGUAGCUCAGUCAAACUGUAUAAUAUAGAUAUUUAUCUAAAAUAUGUGUGUGUGUAUAUAUAUAUAUAUAUAUAUAUAUAUAUAUAUAUAUAUAUAUAUAUAUAUAUAUAUAUAUAUAUACACACACACACACAUACAUACAUAUAUAUAUUUAUAUAUAUAUAUAUAUAUAUAUAUAUAUAUAUAUAUAUAUAUAUAUAUAUAUAUAUAUAUAUAAACACCCCUAAAUAUAUUUCACUUAUUAGAUCUUUAAAUUUGAAUAACUCAGGAAUUUGUAAUCGUGCAAUUUUAAAAUUUGUACUAUUGUACUAAACCCAUACAAAUGUUCAAAUUAAUUUUUGUAAAAAAAAAUAAAUAAAAAUCAUGGGGUUGAAGACGACCAGUGCCUUUGUUUUUUUUUUGUUUGUUUUUUUUGUUUGUUUUUUUUUUGUUUGUAAACUGUAGCGUUAUCUUUUGUAUGUUUUCAUCUGUUUUCCUUCCGCGGUGCGGUUGCUGUUUUGCGCAUGCGCACAAACGUCUAGCCUGUUAAAAUGUAACUUGUAAAAGUAACAAGGGUAUAUGCUGCUUUUCGUGAAGUAGAUUGUUCAUUUAUAUUGUUACAGUGGCCGACAUCAGAAAGAUGGACAUUUACUUUGCUCUGUGUUCUUCUUUCAGGUAAUAACAUGCUUUGACCAUGUCACAAAUCACUUUUUAUUUUAUUUACGAAACUGAACGCUGUUUUACCGUUAAUUCAAUUCACACACGGUUAUGAACGUCACUCCAAAAUGUCAUUUAGUAACUGUUUCCUCUUGUAAGUUGUGUGAAGACUGUGGAUCAAUUAAACAUGUCCUUCAUGCUGUGUGCUUGGUGUGGUUGUCGGUUGUGUACUCACUACACAGUGUUCCUCUCUGGGUGGCGCCAUUACUGCACGCCGCGUCCAGACUGAAGGGUGACCCGGCCAGGCGGAGGAAAGCCUACCGCCUCAUCCAGCGGAGAUUACUGCAUCACGGUGUUGGAUGCGACAAGCUGCACAAACCCACGUACAUUUAUCCGGCUGAAGUGAAGCAGCUGAUCCGCGCCGCCUUCCCUAAGGAAAUCUGUGACUAUCACGACCCGCAACAUCAAAACGUAAACUUCACAAAAACCAUCAGUCUGAAUGCAGGUAGUUUAGUGAAUGCAAAUAGAUUUUUUUUCUUGUCAUGUGUUUUCUCUUUUCAGGUGGUCGCUGUCACCAUGGAUGACCUAAAGGGUGUGAGUUCGGCUGAUCAGAGCUGUUAGACAGACCAGGAGCAAAUCUAACAACUGUUAUCAUUUGUGUGAAAUGUUAAUGUUAACGUUACAUUUGUUUUUGAUCAAUGCAAUCUUGUUUCCCCUGUGCAUGUUGACUGGUUUUCAAUAAAGUUUCAAUAAAGUUGAUUAGAAUAUAUAUAUAUAUAUAUAUAUAUAUAUAUAUAUAUAUAUAUAUAUAUAUAUACACACACACACACACACACACACACACACACACACACACACACAGCAAAAUCACUAGUAUUGAUUUAACACCCAAAGUGUUGAAUUCACACCGACAGUGUUUAUAUGAGUCCAUUGGACUCAUAUAAACACUCUGGGUGUUAAUUCAACACUAGGGAUUUUACUGUGUGUGUGUGUGUGUGUGUGUGUAUAUAUAUAUAUAUAUAUAUAUAUAUAUAUAUAUAUAUAUAUAUAUAUAUAUAUAUAUAUAUAUAUAUAUAUAUAUAUGCUAGAUUUGAAGUGUUGAUGAGUUAAACUAUUAACAACUGGACCAUAGGCCUGUAGUUUAGGGGUGAGUGAGAACUGAUGGUGGCUUUAACCCUUUAAAGCAUAAAUUAUUUAAAUACACGUACAUUCUUUUUUUAAUUAUUAUU